ensembl:snoRNA LOC120100487 small nucleolar RNA U109
CUACACAGAGAAACCCUUUCUUUAAAAACAAACAAACAUCCAUAACAUGCUACAGUGAUGAAGGAGUUCUCAGGGCUACCAACCUUACAGUAGAGGUUGAGUAGUAGUAUAUUUCUCCUACAUUG